AUCAGCCAAGAUCUUCUUAUCACCGUUUUGACUUACAAAUAGUAUGGAGCCUUUGCCUUUGAUGUCGAUUCUUGAGUCAUCUCCAAAUCUCAUUUUUCCUGUUACCGAAUAAUCAAUAUUCUUAAAGUACUCAUACCUCCCUGUCAUGUGAUUACUCACCCCAUUGUCGAGAUACCAAACUCUGUCACUAUCCGAGCUAGCUUCAAAUUCCUUGGGGUUUACGUUCUUCUCAUUGAGGUAGACUACUUCGUGCAUCAAUCACCUAUCUGCCUCUUGUGUAUCAUCUGUUAUCUCCUUGAGUCUGUUUUCGUAUGUCUCUUGAAGCUUCAAAAGUCUAUCAGGGCAACUGGACGCGAAGUGUCCUUUCUUGUCACACCUAAAACACGUAAUUCUUGAUAUGUCAAACUCUUGAUAAGAUCUUCCUCGUCCUCGUCCUCUUCCAUAUGAACGACCUCCUCGUCCUCUGUUUCUAAAGUCUCCAUUGUACUCUC
rnacentral:lncRNA from 1 species